CCUACGGGAGGCAGCAGUGGGGAAUAUUGCACAAUGGGGGAAACCCUGAUGCAGCGACGCCGCGUGAGUGAAGAAGUAUUUCGGUAUGUAAAGCUCUAUCAGCAGGGAAGAAAUAGCGACCUUUGGGUCGCCAGACGGUACCUGAUUAAGAAGCCCCGGCUAACUACGUGCCAGCAGCCGCGGUAAUACGUAGGGGGCAAGCGUUCGCCGGAUUUACUGGGUGUAAAGGGAGCGUAGACGGCAGCGCAAGUCUGAAGGGAAAUGUCGGGGCUUAACCCCGGAACUGCUUUGGAUAUUGUGCAGCUAGAGUGCAGGAGAGGUAAGUGGAAUUCCUAGUGUAGCGGUGAAAUGCGUAGAUAUUAGGAGGAACACCAGUGGCGAAGGCGGCUUACUGGACUGUAACUGACGUUGAGGCUCGAAAGCGUGGGGAGCAAACAGGAUUAGAUACCCCUGUAGUC
rnacentral:rRNA from 1 species